rnacentral:tRNA from 1 species
GCCUGAGUGGCGGAACUGGCAUACGCGUAACACUCAAAAUGUUAUGGUCUUACGACCUUGUGGGUUCAAAUCCCACCUCAGGCA